rnacentral:lncRNA from 1 species
GCACUGGCCUGCCUAUGCAUUGCAGGGGGCCCACCUGGCAGGGAAGUACCGCUGUCUGCUGUGUCCGAAGGAGUUCAGCUCUGAGAGUGGCGUCAAAUACCACAUCCUGAAGACCCACGCAGAGAACUGGUUCCGAACAUCAGCAGAUCCACCUCCCAAACACAGGAGCCAGGACUCAUUGGUGCCCAAGAAGGAAAAGAAGAAAAAUCUGGCAGGUGGAAAGAAGCGGGGCCGAAAGCCCAAGGAGCGGACCCCAGAGGAGCCUGUGGCCAAGCUGCCCCCGCGCCGGGACGACUGGCCUCCAGGAUGCAGAGACAAGGGGGCCCGGGGCUCCACCGGCCGGAAGGUGGGAGUCAGCAAGGCGCCUGAAAAGUGAGCUUGGUGCGUGGGGCCUGGCCCCCAUGCAGCAGCCACACCGCCCUCUGUUCAAGGCAGGGCCAGC